rnacentral:rRNA from 1 species
UACGGGGGGGGUAAGCGUUGUUCGGAAUUACUGGGCGUAAAGGGCUCGUAGGCGGCCAACUAAGUCAUACGUGAAAUCCCUCAGCUUAACUGGGGAACUGCGUGUGAUACUGGAUGGCUUGGAUUUGGGAGAGGGAUGCGGAAUUCCAGGUGUAGCGGUGAAAUGCGUAGAGAUGUGGAGGAACACCGAUGGCGAAGGCAGCCCCCUGGGCUGAGAUUGACGCUCAGGCACGAAAGCGUGGGGAGCAAACAGG